rnacentral:rRNA from 1 species
AACGAACGCUGGCGGCAUGCCUAACACAUGCAAGUCGAACGAGACCUUCGGGUCUAGUGGCGCACGGGUGCGUAACGCGUGGGAAUCUGCCCUUGGGUUCGGAAUAACAGCGAGAAAUUGCUGCUAAUACCGGAUGAUGACGUAAGUCCAAAGAUUUAUCGCCCAAGGAUGAGCCCGCGUAGGAUUAGCUAGUUGGUGAGGUAAAGGCUCACCAAGGCGACGAUCCUUAGCUGGUCUGAGAGGAUGAUCAGCCACACUGGGACUGAGACACGGCCCAGACUCCUACGGGAGGCAGCAGUGGGGGAAUAUUGGACAAUGGGCGAAAGCCUGAUCCAGCAAUGCCGCGUGAGUGAUGAAGGCCUUAGGGUUGUAAAGCUCUUUUACCCGGGAUGAUAAUGACAGUACCGGGAGAAUAAGCUCCGGCUAACUCCGUGCCAGCAGCCGCGG